rnacentral:rRNA from 1 species
AGCUCUGUAAGCGUAUACCAAAGUUGUUGCAGUUAAAACGCUCGUAGUCGGAUUUUGGCGUGGUGCUUAUUAGAUGCCCAACAUUUUUGGUGUAUCGACUUAUAGUCCCGCCUUUGUGGAGGGGGGCGUGGUGGUGCUUUAUUGUAUUGCUGCGUUUCCGCCACUGUUUACUGUGAAAAAAUUAGAGUGUUCAAAGCGAGCGAUUGCCAAAUGAAUAGAUUAGCAUGGAAUAAUAGAAUAGGACCUGGUUCUGUUUUAUUGGUUUGUCGGAUUCAGGUAAUGAUUAAGAGGGACGGUCGGGGGCAUUUGUAUUCCAGGGUUAGAGGUGAAAUUCUUAGAUCCUUGGAAGACAAACAGCUGCGAAAGCGUCUGCCAAGGACGUUUUCA